UACGUAGGAUGCAAGCGUUGUCCGGAUUUACUGGGCGUAAAGCGCGCGCAGGCGGCUUGGCAAGCCUGGCGUGAAAGCCCCCGGCUUAACCGGGGAGAGUCGUCGUGGACUGCCAGGCUUGAGGGCGGUAGGGGUUGGUGGAAUUCCCGGUGUAGUGGUGAAAUGCGCAGAUAUCGGGAAGAACACCCGUGGCGAAGGCGGCUCUCUGGGACGGUACUGACGCUGAGACGCGAAAGCGUGGGGAGCGAACAGG
rnacentral:rRNA from 1 species